AUCCGCACCCAAUGCGCUUUCUUCGUAGCUGACGCCGAGAUGAUGUUUGCUCUAAAAAGUGCUAAUAGGCUCUGAAAUUGAAAGAAGGUUAAAAACCACUGGUCCAGUGAAGAAGAGUUAUGAGGCUGUUGUAAACUGCAAGAAAUAGUUGAGAGUUUGCGCUAGGAAAUGUAGAGGACUGAGAUGAUUUCACCGCCACCCAAGGACUUUAGCUGUGACGGAACACAAAUGGAUCCAUCCCAGGCUGUGGCUAAAAACUGGGAUGAGCGCACAGGCAACGCCUACCCACACUUUCAGGCAAAAUAUGUCCUGGGUAUCCUUCCCUGCUUCCUCCCCCCCCC